CUCUGAUCCUAUUUUAGUGAAUCUGCUUUUACGAUUAAACCAUCACUGUAAUUGGCACUGGAAGAGCAUUGGCAGUCUGCUGUGGUCGCCUUCCCUGCAAAGAACGUUUGUGAUGCUCAUCUCUGAAUGAUGCAUAGUGUCUGCCUGUAUUCAGAUUUAAAAAGAAUUUAAAAAAAGAAUGCAUGAACAGCAGGUAGACUGGUCAGCAGUGAUUCAGUCCCUGGCAGCCAUGAUGAGAGCACCACAAGCUCAACUCAGCCCUGCUGGAGGUGGAUAUUUCUCCAUUUCCUUUCAUGGCAUUGCACCUACGUUACACCAGGUAUCAAGGGAAAAUGGCUAGCAGUGAGUUCUGUAGCUUUUCCUGCUCUACAGCCCCCCUGGCUUAGCCAGCUGGAUCACACUGAAUUAGUCAAGUACUUCAUUAUCUCCCUUCUCUGCACAUUUAGCUCCAGCGAGAACGAACCCUUCCACAGCAAUACCAACCUCGGGGGUCCCCAAGCACUUCUGCACCUGCCUCGGAAGGACAGACAGACUCUCCCAGCUGCCCACAGGUGGAAGCAGGCUGCGAGCCCUCCAUGCUGGUCUCUUGCAAUAGCAAGCCCUGGCACAGACUGGGAAGGAAGAUGCUCAGACUCCAAACUGGUCUCCAAGCCCUCAUCAGCAUCCCUUGUUUCUCUGAAUGCUCAACAAGGCCUCCACAAACCCCAGCAGCCAGAGCUACACAGGCACCAGAUGAAGAGCAAGCGUGCUGGCUGCAGAAUCUCUAUUGGCAUCACUGAACCAGAGCCCAUGGCAGUAAAGCCCCUGUGCAGCCCAGUAGCCAGGUCAGUUACCUCUCUUCCCACUUCACAUUUCAAGUCAAGCAGGACAGAGAAAAAGAAAAAAAAAAUUAGAAGGGUGGAAAAAAAAGAAAAAAAAAAAAAGAAGAAGAAAUUCCUACCCUCUGUCCUACCAGAUUUCACCUCCAUCCACAGUGGAAUACCACCCGGGGCUUUUGCAAACACAUGA
rnacentral:lncRNA from 1 species